rnacentral:lncRNA from 1 species
AAUAACUAAAUAAUUGGUCACAUGCAUCAAAUAUGGUCACAUACCAACACAAAACAUCCACCACACAAAUACUAUCAUCAUCAACACACAAAACACCAUCUAAACCCCACCUAAACUGUUAGAUCUAUCACCACAAAAUCGCCAUCACCACCACACACAAAACACCAUCCAAACCCACAAAAUCUCCACCAACCCAACUACUUAUGCUUUGCACGGGUUGCUACAGUGUUCCGGCGAUUUCAUUUCACCAUCGGAGUGGUGGAUCUGCUUCACGAUUUCAUUUCACUAUCUCAGCUCGUGGUGGACAGCGAAGGGAAAAGUGUGACAGCGUGUUGCUUCUUCAUUACAUUAGCACUAGCGAACUCCAAUAACGACAUGCUCCGAUGGCGACAACGUAUGACGGAGAGAAGACGUGAGAUGGAGUUAGGAAGAUGAAGAGAGGGAGAUGAAGAGAAGGAGUCAGUGACGAGAGGGAGAUGGAGAGUGAGAGUGAAAUGAAGAGAGAGGGGAAAUGAUUAGGGUUUUUAAUUGAAUUGGGUGGGUUAAUUAUAUAUAAUACCUGAAAUUUGAAUUUGAAUGUUUUAGUACCUAGUUUUCUAUAAUUUCCUCUUGUUUCAAUGUGAUAUUUUGGGAUGAGGAAAUGGACAAUCAGCCGAAUAUUUCAUCCAUUUCCCUACACAUCAAUCCAGAUGCAAUACCUACUUGGUCUUACUAUUGGCUCUUCCAAGAUGUGGUAAAAAACAAUUUCGCUUCAAGAGAUGACAGCCACAUGGAUCUUGCUUUGUCAAGUGAUUCUAUCACAAUCAGGGCACUUGAUGAACAUGAUAUAG